CAGGAGCAGACUGACCUCACUUCAAGUGUUCUCCUAAUCUACAUGAAAACAUGGUGUUCUCCCCUAUAAUCCAAGUUCACAAACAUGCAUUCUAAAACAGUUGCCUGGGGGUGAAUCUAUUACCUGCCACACUACAUUCAAAGAGAAUCCAACAUAAAUGGCAUUAUAUACUAAUAUUUUGGUCUGUGGACCAGAAGUUUGGCCCAUCAUUUUUUUUUUAAAUAAUAUUAACACAGAGGUAAGAUUUCUGCUAGGAUUAACAGGAGGGGUCACUUAUUACCCAAUUAAACAAGUAUAAACUCUUAAAAAGUUUGUCCAAAAAGUUACAGACCGGAAUUCUCUCCUCCCUUCUACAGACAAUGAAGAAAGUGAGUAGGGUAGAAGGCAGCCCUCUGUCACUACAGUCACCUAGUGACACCACUGCAGAGCAGCAGUGGCCAUGGCGGGGUGGCUCAGCUUUAGAGCAAAUUAGGAUCGCUGGAGCAGUGUGCUUCUGGGACCAAGUAUUAUCUUUAAUUUUUAGGAAAACAGCAUAGAAAAUGCUAUCUUAUGAACAAGAAUUUAUAAAGAUGUUUCAUCUAUAGAAGAGUAUUUAGUUUGCUUUCCCAAAUAAGAUCAGUAACAUAAACUUCACAGAACUACAUUUAUUCAACUGGCCUUUACAUCCAUUACAUAAACUCAGAUAGAGAAAUAAGGAACCUAGUUAUUUUAAUACCUUCUAUCAAAUACUAUCAUGUCAAGCGGGUUGCUUUUAGAAAGACAUACUAUACCCAACACAUUUAAUAUGAGAAAAAUGCUGUGAUGUAUUUAAUCCUACUAUAAAAGUUAUUAGAGCCAGUCAUAAACUUUCUUUGGCUUUUAAAGCUGCUACAUUAAGUGGAAUGAUCUAACUCAACUGUUCUUUCCCUUUCUGCAGUAUCAGAUAAUUAACUUACUCAAACUUUACUUCUUUUAAGCCCUGCUUUAACACUGUAAAAGUAGCCACAUCUCACACAAAGAAGUGUCCCAAUUAAGCCUAUUUAGCAAGAUAAAGUUUGGCUUAUUAACUUUUAAAUACUAUUUUGACUAGUAUAUAAUAUAGUUUCUACUUUCCUUAAGUGCUUUUAAUACUACAUAGAGAGAAAUGAGACCAAUAACUUUGGCAUUAGCAGGUAAUAACAUAAUCAAUUUGAAAUAUGGAACAGACUGUCAAAGAAUAUCCUUUUUAAUAAGAGGUUCUCAUGAGUUUAAAUUACUCUUGGUGGAAAAAAAAAGUUGACUAUCAGACUAGUUUAAAUAUUUUUCUUAUACGCUUAGUCUGAGAAUGAAUGCACACUGUUAUUUUCUUCCUUUGAAUCUUAUUUUUCUAAAUAAGAAAGUUAAACUUAACAAAUUACACACUUUCAGACAUCAAUACAGGUCAAAACACCCCAACUAAAUGACUCCUUGUUGGGGACUGAAACCAGGGCUUCACAACUGCUACACACAUGGUCUAACUACAAAGUCACACCCUAAUCCCAGUUCUUAUUUACUAAAGAAUCGUAUCACCAAAAUAUGUAUGUUAGCUAGGUGUCUAUACAGUAAGAGUAAAAUAUGUAUGUCAGCUAGAGUAAGAGUAAAAUAUGUACAUCAGCUAGGUGUCUAUACAGUAAGAGUAAAAUAUGUACAUCAGCUAGGUAUCUAUACAGUAAGAGUAAAAUAUGUACAUCAGCUAGGUGUCUAUACAGUAAGAGUAAGAUAUGUACAUUAGCUAGGUGUCUAUACAGUAAGAGUAAGAUAUGUACAUCAGCUAGGUGCCUAUGCAGUAAGAGUAAGAUAUGUACAUUAGCUAGGUGUCUAUGCAGUAAGAGUAAAAUAUGUAUGUUAGCUAGGUGUCUAUACAGUAAGAGUAAAAUAUGUACAUUAGCUAGGUGUCUAUGCAGUAAGAGUAAAAUAUGUAUGUUAGCUAGGUGUCUAUGCAGUAAGAGUAAAAUAUGUACAUUAGCUAGGUGCCUAUACAGUAAGAGUAAAAUAUGUACAUCAGCUAGGUGUCUAUACAGUAAGGGUAAAAUAUGUACAUCAGCUAGGUGUCUAUACAGUAAGAGUAAGAGUUUCUAAUUAAAAAGGAGCAGCAUAAAUCUACAACACUAUUCAUUAUCCAUAAUGAUUUUAAUUAUUCCUAGGAAAACUAACCUGUCUUCUUAUAAAACUUAACUUAAAAGGCAUAGAAUUUAUUCUCUUUAGCUAAAAAUAAAGCUAUCCAAUUAAAAACUUUCAUUCAGCUUACUUUUUUGAAAAGAUUACCACAUUUAGUUCAAGUUUAUGCCCUUGAUCGCUUUCCAAGUCACAAAAUCCCUCACUUUAAGAUCACCACAUAUAAAAAAUAUUUUAAAUUACUCAGAGUACAAAAGUUUUAAUACUCAAAGAGUAACUUUAAUAUUUCUCUGUUAAUAAACAAGGUCAGAAAGCAAACAACAGGUAUUUCUCACUUAACUAAAAUUCAUUUCCAGAUACAAUGUGUAAUAGGCCAACAUUAAAAUUUAGGUAAGCUAGAGAAUGCUAUCUUGUUAUCUUACUGUAAGUUCUGCUUACUGUGACUGCUCUGGCACAGAGUACAGACAACUAGCUAAUCAGCAAAUCACUCACUGGCUUGGAUAAAGAAGCUAGGCAUUAUCUAUAGGUUUUAGCUGUUGGUCCUUAAAUAUGAAAAAAAAUAAUAAAUUAAAAAGCAGGGGCUGGAGAGAUGGCUCAGUGGUUAAGAACACCAACUGCUCUUCUGAAGUCUCUGAAUUCAAAUCCCAGCAACCACAUGGUGGCUCACAACCAUCUGUAAUGAGAUCUGACGCCCUCUUCUGGAGUGUCUGAAGACAGGUACCGUGUACUCACAUAUAAUAAACAAACAAACAAACAAAUAAAUCUUAAAAAAAAAAGCUAACUGGUUCUUUACAGUAUUACUUUCUUUAACAAAAAAAAAAAAUAGUUAAAUAGCAAAACAGACAUUAUUAGGCUAAUUAAAUCUGGAAAAAUAUAACCUAUUAACCCAAGAAAUAAAACAAAAUUAUGUGGUAAGGAAGUUUGUGGUUAGCCACAACUAAACAUGUUUUCUUGCUACGUUUACAACAAGCAAACACAGAUGUUGGGCAUGGUAACCCUAAAGUUUAGAAAUUGCCUAUCUGUUUCUAAUUCUGCACUUUAGUUUUGUUACAUU
ensembl:antisense Gm16185 predicted gene 16185